rnacentral:rRNA from 1 species
GACGAACGCUGGCGGCGUGCUUAACACAUGCAAGUCGAACGGAAAGGCCCUGCUUGCCGGGUACUCGAGUGGCGAACGGGUGAGUAACACGUGGGUGAUCUGCCCUGCACUUCGGGAUAAGCCUGGGAAACUGGGUCUAAUACCGGAUAGGAGCCAUUUUUAGUGUGAUGGUUGGAAAGUUUUUUCGGUGUAGGAUGAGCUCGCGGCCUAUCAGCUUGUUGGUGGGGUAAUGGCCUACCAAGGCGGCGACGGGUAGCCGGCCUGAGAGGGUGGACGGCCACAGUGGGACUGAGAUACGGCCCAGACGCCUACGGGAGGCAGCAGGGGGGAAUAUUGCACAAUGGGCGCAAGCCUGAUGCAGCGACGCCGCGUGGGGGAUGACGGCCUUCGGGUUGUAAACUCCUUUCGCUAGGGACGAAGCUUUUUGUGACGGUACCUAGAGAAGAAGCACCGGCUAACUACGUG